AUUGAACGCUGGCGGCAGGCUUAACACAUGCAAGUCGAGCGGGCGAGGUUGCUUCGGUAACUGAGCUAGCGGCGGACGGGUGAGUAAUGCUUAGGAAUCUGCCUAUUAGUGGGGGACAACAUUCCGAAAGGGAUGCUAAUACCGCAUACGUCCUACGGGAGAAAGCAGGGGAUCAUUUGACCUCGCGCUAAUAGAUGAGCCUAAGUCGGAUUAGCUAGUUGGUGGGGUAAAGGCCUACCAAGGCGACAAUCUGUAGCGGGUCUGAGAGGAUGAUCCGCCACACUGGGACUGAGACACGGCCCAGACUCCUACGGGAGGCAGCAGUGGGGAAUAUUGGACAAUGGGGGGAACCCUGAUCCAGCCAUGCCGCGUGUGUGAAGAAGGCCUUUUGGUUGUAAAGCACUUUAAGUGGGGAGGAGGCUUACCUGGUUAAUACCUGGGCUAAGUGGACGUUACCCACAGAAUAAGCACCGGCUAACUCUGUGCCAGCAGCCGCCGUAAAAC
rnacentral:rRNA from 1 species